rnacentral:rRNA from 1 species
AGCAGCCGCGGUAAUUCCAGCUCCAAUAGCGUAUAUUAAAGUUGCUGCAGUUAAAAAGCUCGUAGUUGAAUUUCGGGACUGAUAUGUCGGUCGUGCCUCGGUACGUACUGGUAUUUUUGGUUUCUCCCUUCUGACGAACCUUGAUGUCAUUAAUUUGGUGUCUUGGGAAAUCAGGACUGUUACUUUGAAAAAAUUAGAGUGUUUAAAGCAGGCUCACGCUUGAAUACAUUAGCAUGGAAUAAUGAAAUAGGACGUUUGAUUCUAUUUUGUUGGUUUUUAGGAUUGACGUAAUGAUUAAUAGGGAUAGUUGGGGGCAUUAGUAUUCAAUUGUCAGAGGUGAAAUUCUUGGAUUUAUUGAAGACUAACUACUGCGAAAGCAUUUGCCAAGGAUGUUUUCAUUAAUCAAGAACGAAAGUUAGGGGAUCGAAGACGAUCAGAUACCGUCGUAGUCUUAACCAUAAACUAUGCCGACUAGGGAUCGGAUGAUGUUAAUUUUUUAAUGACUCAUUCGGCGCCUUACG